ACGAACGCUGGCGGCGUGCCUAAUACAUGCAAGUCGAACGCUUCUUUCCUCCCGAGUGCUUGCACUCAAUUGGAAAGAGGAGUGGCGGACGGGUGAGUAACACGUGGGUAACCUACCCAUCAGAGGGGGAUAACACUUGGAAACAGGUGCUAAUACCGCAUAACAGUUUAUGCCGCAUGGCAUAAGAGUGAAAGGCGCUUUCGGGUGUCGCUGAUGGAUGGACCCGCGGUGCAUUAGCUAGUUGGUGAGGUAACGGCUCACCAAGGCCACGAUGCAUAGCCGACCUGAGAGGGUGAUCGGCCACACUAGGACUGAGACACGGCCCAGACUCCUACGGGAGGCAGCAGUAGGGAAUCUUCGGCAAUGGACGAAAGUCUGACCGAGCAACGCCGCGUGAGUGAAGAAGGUUUUCGGAUCGUAAAACUCUGUUGUUAGAGAAGAACAAGGACGUUAGUAACUGAACGUCCCCUGACGGUAUCUAACCAGAAAGCCACGGCUAACUACGUG
rnacentral:rRNA from 1 species